AUUGAACGCUGGCGGCAGGCCUAACACAUGCAAGUCGAGCGGAGCGGCGGAGGGGUGAGUAAUGCCUAGGAAUCUGGAUGGUAGUGGUGGAUAACGUCCGGAAACGGGCGCGAAUACAGCAUACUAUCAUCUGAGCCUAGACCGGAUUAGCUAGUUGUUGGGGUAAAGGCACACCAAGGCGACGACCCGUAACUGUUCUGAGAGGAUGAGCAGUAACACUGGAACUGAGACACGGUCCAGACUCCUACGGGAGGCAGCAGUGGGGAAUAUUGGACAAUGGGCGAAAGCCUGAUCCAGCCAUGCCGCGUGUGUGAAGAAGGUCUUCGGAUUGUAAAGUACUUUAAGUUGGGAGGCGUUACCAACAGAAUAAGCACCGGCUAACUUCGUGCCAGCAGCCGCGGUAAUUC
rnacentral:rRNA from 1 species